rnacentral:rRNA from 1 species
GGGCCCCGCACAAGCAGCGGAGCGUGUGGUUUAAUUCGAUGUUACACGAAGAACCUUACCAGGGUUUGACAUGCAAGUGGUAGGAAGCCGAAAGGUGACCGACCUUCGGGGAGCUUGCACAGGUGCUGCAUGGCUGUCGUCAGCUCGUGUCGUGAGAUGUUCGGUUAAGUCCGCUAACGAGCGCAACCCUCGCUGUGUGUUAUAUGUGUCACACGGGACUGCCGGUCUUAAGCCGGAGGAAGGUGGGGAUGAAGUCAAGUCAGCAUGGCCUUUAUAUCCUGGGCUACACACACGCUACAAUGGCUGGUACAAUUGGUCGCGAAACCGCGAGGUGGAGCCAAUCCUAAAAGCCAGCCUCAGUUCAGAUUGUAGGCUGCAACUCGCCUGCAUGAAGAUGGAGUUGCUAGUAAACGCAGGUCAGCAUUACUGCGUUGAAUACGUUCCCGGGGAUU